UACGUAGGGUGCGAGCGUUUAAUCGGAAUUACUGGGCGUAAAGCGUGCGCAGGCGGUGAGCUGUGUCCGAUGUGAAAGCCCCGGGCUUAACCUGGGAAUGGCAUUGGAAACUGGCUCGCUGGAGUGGUGGCAGAGGGGGGUGGAAUUCCGCGUGUAGCAGUGAAAUGCGUAGAGAUGUGGAGGAACACCGAUGGCGAAGGCAGCCCCCUGGGGCCUGCACUGACGCUCAUGCACGAAAGCGUGGGGAGCAAACAGG
rnacentral:rRNA from 1 species